GUAAACAUAGUUUAGCAAAAUACUAGAUUGUGAUUCUAGAGUCAGGAGUUAAACCCUCCCUGUUUACCGAAUGAGGUUGGAACAUCAAGAACUGCUAAUUACUUGCUACCGUGGUUCAACUCCACGGCUUAUUCGGCU
rnacentral:misc_RNA from 2 species